GUGAUUUAUUUGGCAGCACAUAUACUAAAAUUGGAAUAAUACAGAGAAGAUUAUUAGCAUGGCCCCUGCACAAGGAUGACAUGUAAAUCAUGAAAUACUCCAUAUUUUU
ensembl:snRNA U6 U6 spliceosomal RNA